AGUUCAUGCCCUCACGGGUAGAUCUCCCACCCUUUGAGUACUAUACUUUUGUUGUCUUUGGCAGGCCGCUUCGGCUACCGGCUUCGGCUGGUGAGUGCCUGCCAGAGGACCCCAAACUCUGAAUUAUAGUGUCGUCUGAGAACUAUAUAAUAGUUAAAACUUUCAACAACGGAUCUCUUGGUUCUGGCAUCGAUGAAGAACGCAGACGAAAAUGCGAUAAGUAAUGUGAAUUGCAGAAUUCAGUGAAUCAUCGAAUCUUUGAACGCACAUUGCGCCCCUUGGUAUUCCGGGGGGCAUGCCUGUUCGAGCGUCAUUAUAACCCUCAAAGCCUAGCUUGGUGUUGGAGCCUGCCUCUGGGCAGCUCUUAAAAAUCAGUGGCGGUGCCGUCUGGCUCUAAAGCGUAAUAAUUCUUCUCGCUACAGGGUCCCGGCGGUUGCUUGCCAACAACCCCAAAUUUUCUAUGGUUGACCUCGGAUCAGGUAGGGAUACCCGCUGAACUUAAGCAUUUCAUUNGG
rnacentral:rRNA from 1 species